rnacentral:rRNA from 1 species
AGAGUUUGAUUAUGGCUCAGGAUGAACGCUAGCGAUAGGCCUAACACAUGCAAGUCGAGGGGCAGCACAUGAAGUAGCAAUACGGAUGGUGGCGACCGGCGCACGGGUGAGUAACGCGUAUGCAACCUGCCUACAACAGGGGAAUAACCCGUUGAAAGACGGACUAAUACCCCAUAACACAGGGAUCCCGCAUGGGAAUAUUUGUUAAAGAUUUAUCGGUUGUAGAUGGGCAUGCGUUCCAUUAGCUGGUUGGUGAGGUAACGGCUCACCAAGGCAACGAUGGAUAGGGGAACUGAGAGGUUUAUCCCCCACACUGGUACUGAGACACGGACCAGACUCCUACGGGAGGCAGCAGUGAGGAAUAUUGGUCAAUGGACGCAAGUCUGAACCAGCCACGUCGCGUGAAGGAAGACGGCCCUACGGGUUGUAAACUUCUUUUGUAAGGGAAUAAAGUGCAGUACGUGUACUGUUUUGCAUGUACCUUACGAAUAAGGAUCGGCUAACUCCGUGCCAGCAGCCGCGGUAAUACGGAGGAUCCGAGCGUUAUCCGGAUUUAUUGGGUUUAAAGGGUGCGCAGGCGGGAGAUUAAGUCGGCGGUGAAAUUUUGCAGCUCAACUGUAAAAGUGCCUUCGAAACUGGUUUUCUUGAGUGUGGAUGAAGUAGGCGGAAUUUGUGGUGUAGCGGUGAAAUGCAUAGAUAUCACGAGGAACUCCGAUUGCGCAGGCAGCUUACUAAACCAUAACUGACGCUCAGGCACGAAGGCGUGGGGAUCAAACAGGGAUUAGAUACCCUGGUAGUC